UACGGAGGGGGCUAGCGUUGUUCGGAAUUACUGGGCGUAAAGCGCACGUAGGCGGCUUUGUAAGUUAGAGGUGAAAGCCCAGGGCUUAACUCUGGAAUUGCCUUUAAGACUGCAUCGCUAGAAUCGUGGAGAGGUGAGUGGAAUUCCGAGUGUAGAGGUGAAAUUCGUAGAUAUUCGGAAGAACACCAGUGGCGAAGGCGACUCACUGGACACGUAUUGACGCUGAGCAGCGAAAGCGUGGGGAGCAAACAGG
rnacentral:rRNA from 1 species